UUGAACACGAUGACAAGGACAAGUAAGCAUACGCGGAAUAUCCUUCAGAAAGCCGGUGGUUGAUGUGAACCGGUGGAGCCGCUUUGCUGAAUGGACCUUUGAGUGCUGGAGCAGAAACGGGAGCCUUAUGUAAUCCUUACUAUGCCGGCCGGGUAUUCCCCGUUACAGGAAUGACAAGGCUACAGUUAAUUUUUUUUGAUUGUAGUGAAUAAGGGUGGUACCACGGUCUCACGUCCCUUGC
rnacentral:ncRNA from 1 species